ensembl:lncRNA
AACAAAUUUUUAAGUUGCUCUGGAGGGAAGAAUGAGCAGAAAUAAAUUAUUUUUAUUAUUAGUUUUAUUAUUAUUAUUACUAUAUAAUGCACUUUGAACAAGGGAAUAUAAAUGUGAUAGAAAUGCAAGAUACUUACUGACAGACAUUUACAUUUUUCUCUGAUUUCUGACACAUCAUCCAAUUAUUUUACUGUCUGGUCUGAGGUUCUCUUUUCUGUCACCAUAAUUACCCACAAUCCUGGGUCUGUACACUACAUCACUUAAAGUAAUUUACUACCAGCAGGGUAAUUUUACUGUAUCAAUUGAAGAGAAGUACCUUUACAAAGGGUUGUACAGCAAGAGGUGGUAUUAACUCAGGACCUUCUUCUGGAAAGUGAUGGCUCUUGCCAUCAUGCGGCCUUGUUUUAAUUGUGCAUGUAUUUUUGUACGGUAGCAGGUGCAGAGCACCAUGUUUACCCCUUUGGAGGUCAAAGGACAAGCAGUGUUAGUCUGAGCUUCCAUGUCGCCAGUCUGCCAGGUGAAUCAUGUCCAGAGCUGAUUCUGCACAUGUUCCAAGAGCUGAAUUGAUAAAGUUUAUGCAGGACAUGUGGUGCAUUUAUUGACUCUGUCGAUUUAAUGCACCAAAGGCAUAAAUACAAUCAUCAUGAAUCACAAGUUUCCAUGACUCACAGUCUUCAAUUCCAAAUUUGUUUGAAUUUGUUUGCAGUUGGUGCCACAUGGCUGCAUGUGGGUUUCUUUGCAGCUUCCCCGUUGGACUGCACAGCCACAGACAUUUAGCAAAAAGGAAGACGUGGGACUUGACCUCCUUCAAGGGGUGUUCCACAGGGCUCAGUACUGGGCCCCCUACGCUUCUGCAUCUACACCUCCUCCCUCAGUCCUCUCACUGCCUCCCACAGAUUGUCCUACCACUUCCACGCCGAUGAUACCCAGCUCUUCCUCUCGUUACCCACGGGAAGGAGUGGGGUUGGCUACCUGGAUGUCUGAUCACCACCUACAACUGAAGCUCUCCAAAACUGAGAUCCUUCAGAACCCAACAUGUUCAUCCUCCUGUCGAGAGCUCUCUACGAAACUGGACAACUCACUCAGUUUGACGACCUCAUCGGCUAAGAGACCGGGAGUAACGAUUGGCUCAGGCCAUGGUGACAUCUUUCUGGACUGCCGUAGCUCUCUUCUCUACUCCUUCAUCCUCUGCCAUCAAGCUUCUCCAGCUGAUACAGAAGGCAGCGAACCGCAACGGAAAGCUCAUUAGUGCUCAGGUUUGGAGGAAUGAGCUACCUACAUUUACAUUUACAUUUAUUCAUUUAUCAGAUGCUUUUCUCCAAAGUGACGAACAUCUCCUAAUGUAUUCAUUACAUUAGGAGAAAGAGACAUGGCUGCAGACGUGAUUCUUAAGUAAACCUAGUUUGUUUCCACUUUAUGCUCCGAUGUCCAUCACACGAGUAGGUGCACAGGACUCAGGAUGAAUGAUCACCUCCCUACAGUUUUUUUUUUUUUUUUUGCCUGUGCCUUUUCUUACCUUUUUUACCUGUCCCCCUCAGAGCUGCUGAAUCCCUCCCACACUGAAGCAGGGUCUUGACCUCAUGUCUUUGAGAGCCACUUCUCUCCUGAUCUCCUGACAGCUCCAGCAGUCAGCCCAACACCAUCUGCUAUGAUCAUCUGUGUAUUUGCUAUUUGAAUUUAACAUCUAUAGGAGCUGCUGGAGGGAUGUGAACCAGCAACAUGGUGGUGUCAGACAUACAUAACCAGCAGGCUAAAAUUCGUGGGCGUUCAAGCAAGGUGGCGCACGGUGAUAAAUUAAUAAAGUCAAUAAUCUAAUAACGGUGUUCUGAAGU